rnacentral:rRNA from 2 species
UUGGAGGGCAAGUCUGGUGCCAGCAGCCGCGGUAAUUCCAGCUCCAAUAGCGUAUAUUAAAGUUGUUGCAGUUAAAAAGCUCGUAGUUGAAUUUCGGGGUUAGUAGGCUGGUCGUGCCACAGGUAUGCACUGGUCUUACUGAUUCCUCCUUCCUGAUGAACCGUAAUGCCAUUAAUUUGGUGUUGCGGGGAGUCUGGACUGUUACUUUGAAAAAAUUGAGUGUUUAAAGCAGGCUAACGCUUGAAUACAUUAGCAUGGAAUAACGAAAUAGGACGUUCGAUCUUAUUUUGUUGGUUUCUAGGAUUGACGUAAUGAUUAAUAGGGAUAGUUGGGGGCAUUAGUAUUCAAUUGUCAGAGGUGAAAUUCUUGGAUUUAUUGAAGACUAACUACUGCGAAAGCAUUUGCCAAGGAUGUUUUCAUUAAUCAAGAACGAAAGUUAG